rnacentral:rRNA from 1 species
AUUGAACGCUGGCGGCAGGCCUAACACAUGCAAGUCGAGCGGAUGAAGGGAGCUUGCUCCUGGAUUCAGCGGCGGACGGGUGAGUAAUGCCUAGGAAUCUGCCUGGUAGUGGGGGAUAACGUCCGGAAACGGGCGCUAAUACCGCAUACGUCCUGAGGGAGAAAGUGGGGGAUCUUCGGACCUCACGCUAUCAGAUGAGCCUAGGUCGGAUUAGCUAGUUGGUGGGGUAAAGGCCUACCAAGGCGACGAUCCGUAACUGGUCUGAGAGGAUGAUCAGUCAUAGAGGAGAGACGACACGGUGAAUACUACUAGGGGCGGCAGCAGUGGAGAUUAUGGGACAGGGGGCAACAGGCUGCACCAGCCCUGCGGGGGGUGAAGAAGGUCUCCGAAUGGUAAACCCCUUUAAGUGGGGAGGAAGGGCAGUAGGUUAAAACCUGCCUGUUUUACGGUAACCACAAGAAAAGCACCGGCUAACUUCGUG